rnacentral:rRNA from 1 species
AAUGAACGCUGGCGGCGUGCCUAACACAUGCAAGUCGAGCGGAAGAAGGGAGCUUGCUCCUGGAUUCAGCGGCGGACGGGUGAGUAAUGCCUAGGAAUCUGCCUGGCAGUGGGGGAUAACGUCCGGAAACGGGCGCUAAUACCGCAGACGACGAGAGGGAGAAAGUGGGGGUUCUUCGGACCUCACGGUUUUAGAUGAGCCUAGGUGGGAUUAGCUAGUUGGUGGGGUAAAGGCCUACCAAGGCGACGAUCCGUAACUGGUCUGAGAGGAUGAUCAGUCACACUGGAACUGAGACACGGUCCAGACUCCUACGGGAGGCAGCAGUGGGGAAUGUUGGACAAUGGGCGAAAGCCUGAUCCAGCCGCGCCGCGUGUGUGAAGAAGGUCUUCGGAUUGUAAAGCACUUUUAGUUGGGAGGAAGGGCUGUAAGUUGAUACCUUGCUGUUUUGACGGUACCUACAGAAUAAGCACCGGCUAACUACGUG